UGGGGAAUAUUGGGCAAUGGGCGAAAGCCUGACCCAGCAACGCCGCGUGAAGUAUGAAGGCCUUCGGGUUGUAAACUUCUUUGAUCAGGGAAGAAACAAAUGACGGUACCUGAAAAACAAGCCACGGCUAACUACGUGCCAGCAGCCGCGGUAAUACGCAGGUGGCGAGCGUUAUCCGGAUUUACUGGGUGUAAAGGGCGUGCAGGCGGGCUGAUAAGUCAGAUGUGAAAUCCCCGAGCUUAACUCGGGAACUGCAUCUGAUACUGUUGGUCUUGAGUGCUGGAGAGGAUAGUGGAAUUCCCAGUGUAGCGGUGAAAUGCGUAGAUAUUGGGAGGAACACCAGUAGCGAAGGCGGCUUUCUGGACUGCAACUGACACUGAGGCACGAAAGCGUGGGUAGCAAACAGG
rnacentral:rRNA from 1 species